rnacentral:rRNA from 1 species
UACGAAGGGGGCUAGCGUUGUUCGGAAUUACUGGGCGUAAAGGGCGCGUAGGCGAUCUGACAAGUCUGGUGUGAAAGCCCACAUGUUAACUGUGGAAGUGCAUUAGAAACUGUUGGAUUUGAGUUCAGGAGAGGAAGGCAGAAUUCCCGGUGUAGCGGUGAAAUGCGUAGAGAUCGGGAGGAAUACCAGUGGCGAAGGCGGCCUUCUGGACUGACACUGACGCUGAGGCGCGAAAGCCAGGGGAGCAAACGGG